GGCUACUUCCUGAGAAGGAGUGUUCUAUAGCCAGAGGCCCUAUCACCAGUCAGAUAACUGACGAGAGGUUCAGCUGCGUGGUGCAUGCCCGUGGAUGGAGCUCUGUUUAGACAUGGUGUUUCAGUGCUGUUGUUCAGUCUCGUUGGCGGGCUGUUCUUCCUGCAUCAAAAGGGGAAUGCUCAUUCUGCUGAUGCUGUGCAAGUGUGUUGGAGAGCUGAGAAGACAAGAAGCACAAAGCAAAAUUUAAAGAGGCAUCUAUGAACAUACAACUUCAACCUUGUUAGAAGAGCUCUUAUCAUCAUUAACGUUAGACUGGUGACAUUCAUGGGGAGUGGCAUUAGAUUUUUUCUCAGAAUCUCUUGAGUUGUGUCAUUGAUAUCUGUGGCAUGCCUCUCUAACUGUGGAAUCUACAGUAGAUUGGAAUUUACGUAGAUAUAAAAGCUGUGCUGUGCAGGUAGAACUGAAUGAAAGUCCUUGUUUUACAUCCACAGUACUUGAAGCUCGUGUGGCUGCUUUAAGUUCUGUGAUAAUCAUCACACGAAGGACUUUCACCACUGCUUUAAAGGUCACCUCGGAUUCAUGAAUCACUGCAGGUUAAUGUGUUAUUAAUCAGUCAGAGACCAGCUGAAAACUAUUGGUUCAGCUCCUGUUAGAUGUUUAUAAAGUAAAAUAUAAAGAAGAGAAUCUGUGCUUCUAUGCUAGGAGUUAAAUAGGAGUUCUGCUGCUGUCACUUUCCCUCUUACUCCAUCACCAGCUGCUGCUGCUGCUGGUCUCAGAGCUGUCAUUCUCUGACCUGAGUGGAGAUGCUACUUCUCAUUGACAUAAAACCUGUUGCUGGUCCUUUAAUUUUCAGAUUUUCUCUCCUUUUUCCUUCCUCUCUACCUCCUGCUGUACACUUGCCAUCACCAUCACUCCACUCAGUUUGGAGUGGAGAAGCCUCCUUAUCACACCACUUCCAUCUCCACUCACUCGUUCUCAGGUUUUGCUCAUUACUUAAUGUUUUCUGUUACUUGUGAUUGAGGACACCUUCACCUUUCUGACAUUAAACCCUGCUUCAUCUACAUUGUGUCCGUUUCUAGAGAUUCUUAUGUUUAUGAUAGUAGUGCUGACUGAUAAUUAUGCUUGUGCUGCAGAAAAAGCAUUAAGGUGGAGGACCCCUGUGACUUCUCUUUUAAUUCAUCUUUAUUACUGAAUGAAACAGACUCCUCCAUUUCGAAGAGCUUAUGACUUUUCUCUGACUAAUCUUGUACUUUUCUGCUUGCUUAAUUUGUGGUUUUAGUCUAUUUUUAAAAUGAUAUUUCUAUUGUGUCUUUUAAAAUACGUGUUUAUUACUCUUCUGUGACUCCCAAGUGUAUUGGCUGGCAAAGUCUUGAUGAAUAAAAUUGCUGUCAUGUUAUAGCUAUAAAAAUUCAUUCCUUCCCUGGAAUGAAGCAAGCAAGUUUGAAGGAGUGGAGGAGUGGAGUUAUUUGAAGUAAAAUGGGAUAAAUGCUUAGGAAAAAUGUUUGUAGGAUUCCGUUGCAGUUACAAACUGUUGAUGUAUUAAACUUCCUCGUUCUUCACUGUGCAAAUGAACCAAAGCGUGAAUCUGUACACUAUUGCAGUGAUGUGUGCUGUGUAGAACAUAUCCACUGACUAACUUUGUGAGAGUUGAGCCCUGACACUAGCCUGGAAGUACCAAACAAUUCCAUAUUUACUAGAAAACCUGCCUGCAAGCCAUGGUCCAGUAAGUCAUGCUAAUGACUGAGCUGGUUGUGCUGGAAAGCAACUGGUAUGUGAGGCUUUGUGUCUCAUGGAGCUGUACACUGCUCUGCAGG